rnacentral:rRNA from 1 species
GACGAACGCUGGCGGCGUGCUUAACACAUGCAAGUCGAGCGGAAAGGCCCUUUCGGGGGUACUCGAGCGGCGAACGGGUGAGUAACACGUGAGUAACCUGCCCUAGACUUUGGGGUAACCCUCGGAAACGGGGGCUAAUACCGGAUAUUUACUGCUGAUCGCAUGGUUGGUGGUGGAAAGUUUUUCGGUCUGGGAUGGGCUCGCGGCCUAUCAGCUUGUUGGUGGGGUGAUGGCCUACCAAGGCGACGACGGGUAGCCGGCCUGAGAGGGCGACCGGCCACACUGGGACUGAGACACGGCCCAGACUCCUACGGGAGGCAGCAGUGGGGAAUUUUGGACAAUGGGGGCAACCCUGAUCCAGCCAUGCCGCGU